rnacentral:rRNA from 1 species
GACGAACGCUGGCGGCGUGCCUAAUACAUGCAAGUCGAGCGGGCCUCCGGAGGUGCUUGCACUUCCGGAAGGCCAGCGGCGGACGGGUGAGUAACACAUGGGCAACCUGCCUUUGAGGCCGGGAUAACACCGGGAAACCGGUGCUAAUACCGGAUGCGUCCUCUUUCGUGCCUGCGAGAGGGGAGAAAGACGGUCUUCGGGCCGUCGCUCCACGAGGGGCUCGCGGCGCAUUAGCUGGUUGGUGGGGUAAGGGCCUACCAAGGCGACGAUGCGUUGCCGACCUGAGAGGGUGAUCGGCCACACUGGGACUGAGACACAGCCCAGACUCCUGCGGGAGGCAGCAGUAGGGAAUCAUCCGCAAUGGGCGAAAGCCUGACGGUGCAACGCCGCGUGAGUGAGGAAGGUUUUCGGAUCGUAAAGCUCUGUUGUGAGGGAAGAACAGCUUCCGGAGGAAAUGCCGGAGGUUUGCCGGUACCUCACCAGAAAGCCCCGGCUAACUACGUGCCAGCCGCCGCAGUAA